CAGCCAACGGAGUGCGGAGAACCCUGAGCCGCACGGUCGCCACGCAUGACCUCCUGGUCAUGACGGUGCAGGAGGAGCUAGAGGUGAGACCGACCCGGGGCCG
rnacentral:ncRNA from 1 species